rnacentral:rRNA from 1 species
UUUCUUCGGAAUGAAACUAGAUAUGACUUAGUGGCGGACGGGUGAGUAACACGUGAGCAACCUGCCUAUCAGAGGGGGAUAACGAUUGGAAACGAUCGCUAAUACCGCAUGACAUAGCGGAACCGCAUGGUUUUGUUAUCAAAGAUUUUAUCGCUGAUAGAUGGGCUCGCGUCCGAUUAGAUAGUUGGUGGGGUAACGGCCUACCAAGUCGACGAUCGGUAGCCGGACUGAGAGGUCGAACGGCCACAUUGGGACUGAGACACGGCCCAGACUCC